GCCGGAAUAGCUCAGUUGGUAGAGCAGAGGACUGAAAAUCCNCGNGUCAC
rnacentral:tRNA from 1 species